rnacentral:rRNA from 1 species
AUUGAACGCUGGCGGCACGCCUAACACAUGCAAGUCGAGCGGCAGCGAGACUAGUAGCAAUACUAGUUGUCGGCGAGCGGCGGACGGGUGAGUAACACGUAGGAAUCUGCCCUUAAGCGGGGGAUAACCAAGGGAAACUUUGGCUGAUACCGCAUAAUCUCGAGAGAGCAAAGCUGCCCGCAAGGGUGGCACUUGAGGAGGAGCCUGCGUCCGAUUAGCUAGUUGGUGGGGUAAUGGCCUACCAAGGCGAUGAUCGGUAACUGGUCUGAGAGGACGACCAGUCACACUGGGACUGAGACACGGCCCAGACUCCUACGGGAGGCAGCAGUGGGGAAUAUUGGACAAUGGGGGCAACCCUGAUCCAGCGAUGCCGCGUGAGUGAAGAAGGCCUUCGGGUCGUAAAGCUCUUUAGGUUGGGAAGAAGGGUAUUGGCUGAAUAAUCCAGUACUUUGACGGUACCGACAGAAUAAGCACCGGCAAACUCUGUGCCAGCAGCCGCCGUAA